rnacentral:lncRNA from 1 species
GGCAAUCUGGACUCUUUGGAUGGCUUCCAUCUCAUGGAUGGAGUAGUUUUGUAUAAUGGUAUUCUAAUCGCAGCCUUCCCGAGAUGGAUUCAUGAUUUCACUAACUCUUCUCUGGUCAUCAUCGACAGUAGAGAUGCGGCUGUUGGGCAUUGAUGGUACCCAGGGAUGGGUGAUCAGAGAGGACUCCCCAUUACCGAUCACCCUGAUCAACUCCAAGUUUAGAGACUCCCUGGCCUCGAACAUGCUGUAUCCAAGAGUUGCGCCAUCCCUCCC